rnacentral:lncRNA from 1 species
CAAGCUUUGUCUUUUCCGGCUUUCUACCUACGUCUGAUUUGAUUCCCUUCCCUUUACUUCCUUGGCCCUUCACUUCUCUCCCGAAUCUCGGUUUGAACACCCUAAUUUUAUAGCUCCCAAUCCACAACUUAUUCAGCUGCUCCAGCAAACCGUUCCUAUCUUCAACGUCUUCGAAGCGAACAAAACCGAAAGGCUUCCCCUUUUUGUCUCUUUUUCUUGGACAAAAGAUGUCUGUCGGUUCUCGCACAGAACCGAACUUUCUCCUCAAAAAAUCAAAGCUACAUUCUUCUGGAAUGUUGUUGAAAAAGAAUGUAACUCUUUGUGCUUCAUUCUCGUCUCUUUCUUUCCACUGUUUCGAAAACUUUUGAUUCUUUUGGUUCAGCUGAUUCUUCACCAUCCCAUCGACUCCGGUCUUCACCGCCCCUCGUCUCCUCACUUCUCUCCAGACCUCCUCUCUCAUCUCUUAAAUUGGAACUAUUCUGCCAUAAACAAUCAGUCCUCUCACUCCACUCAACUCCAGCAACAACCAAUCAGUUGAACACAAUCAAGGUAAUUUGCUAUCUCAAGCAUUCAAUUCAGUUCGCAACCAAAUUUAGCAUAAUCACAUUUCAUCUACCUCAAAUAGCCAUAAGAUGCUUUAUAACAGAAGGAUAUUAAUGCUUCACAUUCGUGCACUCUAGAAUAGCAAGUUAUAAGAACUUCACCCCAAUCCUUACCAACUAGCGAGAGAGUUAAACUUAGCUUUAGGGAGAAUGUCCGACUGUUUUAGAGAUUCAGAUAGCCAACGAAGACAUAUUAGCACAAUGUUCACCCAAAUCGAUCAUCUUCAUCAUCCUUGCAGAUUGCAAUUUUACAGGAGCUCUGAUGGCAACUCACAUAUGAUUCCCGCCGGAGUCAACGCCUCUCCUCUCUAACAAGCAUCCAUUGCACACUCGCAGCUACCGGCCGGCCAAUCCGAGGACGAUCUAGCUGUGAUUUCUUCCAAAUCAGUGGUUCCCGAAGAAAUCCCAAUCUACAAAAUCUU